rnacentral:tRNA from 1 species
GGGGUUGUGGCUCAGCGGUAGAGCGCUUGUCUAGCACAUAAUGAGGCCCUGGGUUCAAUCCUCAGCACCACA